UACGUAGGUGGCAAGCGUUGUCCGGAUUUACUGGGCGUAAAGAGCGCGCAGGCGGUCGAUCAAGUCGCGUGUGAAAGCCCCCGGCUCAACUGGGGAGGGUCACGCGAUACUGAUCGACUCGAAGGCAGGAGAGGGUAGUGGAAUUCCGGUGUAGUGGUGAAAUGCGUAGAUAUCGGGAGGAACACCAGUGGCGAAGGCGACUACCUGGCCUGUUUCUUGACGCUGAGGCGCGAAAGCUAGGGGAGCAA
rnacentral:rRNA from 1 species